rnacentral:rRNA from 1 species
UACAGAGGGUGCAAGCGUUGCUCGGAAUCAUUGGGCGUAAAGGGGUAGGUAGGUGGUCUCGUUUGUCUGGGGUGAAAGCCCAGGGCUUAACCCUGGAAGUGCCCCGGAAACGGCGAGACUAGAGUUCUGGAGAGGGUCGUGGAAUUCCCGGUGUAGCGGUGGAAAUGCGUAGAGAUCGGGAGGAACACCAGAGGCGAAGGCGGGCUGACUGGGCCGAUACUGACGCUGAUGUGCGAAAGCCAGGGGAGCGAACGGGG